rnacentral:rRNA from 1 species
UCCUACGGGGGGCUGCAGUGGGGAAUUUUACACAAUGGGCGAAAGCCUGAUGUAGCAACGCCGCGUGGAGGAUGACGGAUUUAGGUCUGUAAACUCCUUUUAUAGGGGAAGAAAUUUGACGGUACCCUAUGAAUAAGCACCGGCUAACUCCGUGCCAGCAGCCGCGGUAAUACGGGGGGUGCAAGCGUUACUCGGAAUCACUGGGCGUAAAGGGAGCGUAGGCGUUCUAUUAAGUCUUGAGUGAAAGCCCGCAGCCUAACUGCGGAACUGCUCAGGAAACUGAUAGAAUUGAGUAUGGAAGAGGUAGGUGGAAUUUCCAGUGUAGGGGUAAAAUCCGUAGAUAUUGGAAGGAAUACCAGAAGCGAAGGCGACCUACUGGGACAUUACUGACGCUGAGGCUCGAAAGCGUGGGGAGCAAACAGGAUUAGAUACCCGAGUAGUC